UCCCCGGUGGCUCAGAUGGUAAAGCGUCUGCCUACAAUGCGGGAGACCCAUGUUCGAUCCUUGGGUAGGGAA
rnacentral:tRNA from 1 species